rnacentral:tRNA from 1 species
GGGGAGGUGCCAGAGUGGCUGAAUGGGACCGCCUGCUAAGUGGUUGUCGGGGGAAUGACCUCGACCGAGGGUUCGAAUCCCUCCCUCCCCG